UGUUGCCUGCAAGGGCGUAUGGUGGAUGCCUUGGCAGACAGGACCGAUGAAGGACGUUUGAGGCUGCGAUAUGCCUCGGGGAGCCGCCAACAGGGCUUUGAUCCGAGGAUUUCCGAAUGGGGGAACCCACCGGCCGUCAUGGGCCGGUACCGCCGUGUGCGGGGGGUACGCAGGGAAGUGAAACAUCUCAGUACCUGCAGGAAAGGAUAUUCCGUGAGUAGUGGCGAGCGAAAGCGGAUCAGGCCAAACCUUGCGCGUGUGAUACCCGUCGGGGGUUGCGCGCGGGGUGUAGAGGGAUCGCGUUUGCCGGCUCCGACGGGCCGGCCGUCAGUUGCAUAAAACCAUGUGCCAGGGGAACCGGGUUGAAUACCGGGCCGCAGAGGGUGAGGGCCCCGUACCCGAACGCGCAUGGUCUGGCGAUCGCGUCUCCCAAGUAGCACGGGCCCCGUGGAAUCCCGUGCGAAUCUGUCCCGACCGUGGGAUAAGCCUAAAUAUUCCUGUCUGACCGAUAGCGAACGAGUACCGUGAGGGAAAGGUGAAAAGUACCCCGGGAGGGGAGUGAAACAGUCUCUGAAACCAUGCGCCUACGAACCGUCGGGGCCCUCUUGUGGGGUGACGGCGUGCCUAUCGAAAAAUGAGUCUGCGAGUCAGUGGCAUGUGGCGAGCAUAACCCGUGUGGGGUAUGCGUAGCGAAGGCGAGUCUUAAAAGGCGUUUGAGUCGCGUGUCCUGGACCCGAAGCGGGAUGAUCUAGCCCUGAGCAGGUUGAAGCGCGGGUAAGACCGUGUGGAGGACCGAACCCACCUGGGUUGAAAACCGGGGGGAUGACUUGGGGCUAGGGGUGAAAGGCCAAUCAAAUUCCGUGAUAGCUGGUUCUCUCCGAAAUGCAUUUAGGUGCAGCGUCGGAUCGAUUACAUCCGGGGGGUAGAGCGACUGGAUGCUUGCGGGCCCAUAUCGGGUACCAACAGCAACCAAACUCCGAAUACCCGUGAUGCGUAUCCCGGCAGUGAGUCGGCGGGGGAUAAGCUCCGUCGUCGAAAGGGAAACAGCCCAGAUCGUCGUCUAAGGUCCCCAAGCGUGUGCUAAGUGGGAAAGGAUGUGGAGUCGCAUAGACAGCCAGGAGGUUGGCUCAGAAGCAGCCACCCUUGAAAGAGUGCGUAACAGCUCACUGGUCUAGUGGUUCCGCGCCGACAAUGUAGCGGGGCUCAAGCACACCACCGAAGACGCGGCAGUAGCUUUGCUACUGGGUAGGAGAGCGUCCCGUGCGGGGCGAAGCGGCGGCGCAAGCCCGCCGUGGACCGCAUGGGAGUGAGAAUGCAGACAUGAGUAGCGAAAGACGGGUGAAGAUCCCGUCCGCUGGACGACCAAGGGUUCCAGGGCCACGUUCAUCGUCCCUGGGUGAGUCGGGUCCUAAGGCGAGGCCGACAGGCGUAGUCGAAUGGACGAACGGGUCGAUAUUCCCGUACCGGCAUGCAACCGGCAAAACCGAAUCCGCGAGUACUAACCUCCGGGUCCGGGCUCACGUCUCCUUCGGGAGCCGGAUGCCCUGGCCUGUUGGGACCGUAACGGUAGUAGGUCAGCGCGGGAGUGACGCAGAAGGGUAGCCGGCCGCGGAGGUGGUCUUCCGUGGUCAAGCACGCAGCCCGUCCCACAGGCAAAUCCGUGGGGCGCGUGGGCGAGGUGCGAUGAUGGGCGCCGUUGGGCGCGAUAUCCGGUGAUCCCGGCUGCCGAGAAAAGCUUCGGCGUGAGGCGGCAUGCCGCCCGUACCCCAAACCGACACUGGUGGUCAGGUAGAGAAUACCAAAGCGAUCGAGCGAAUCCUGGUCAAGGAACUCGGCAAAUCACUCCCGUUCCUUCGGUUUAAGGGAGACCCCCGAUGGUGAAGCGGCUUGCCCGCGGAGCUUUUGGGGGUGGCACAGACCAGGGGGUAGCGACUGUUUACCAAAAACACAGGAGCGUGCGAAGGCGCAAGCCGCUGUAUACGCUCUGACGCCUGCCCGGUGCCGGAAGGUUAAGAGGAUCCGUCAGGCCUCGGCCGAAGCGGUGAAUUCAAGCCCCGGUAAACGGCGGUGGUAACUAUAACCAUCCUAAGGUAGCGAAAUUCCUUGUCGGGUAAGUUCCGACCUGCACGAAUGGCGUAACGACUUC
rnacentral:rRNA from 1 species